CCAAGAGAAGGUUUGUAGAGAAGAGAAACCAAGAUAUGAUAAUGGGCUUGGUAGAAAAGGCUCCUCGGUGACUUCCCAACCAUCUGAAUCAUACGAGAAAGAAGAAGCCAAAAUAAAAGCAAUGACACUAGAGUCAAGAGAAAAAUUAAAGCAAAACUCUUAUUAUGAUAACUCUAGUUCAUUUCCGGGUGAAGAUUCUUUGGAGGAGGCAAUUUUGGGAUUAGGGGUUAGACCUUGUUCAAACAACUUCCUAACAUUAUUCCUAAAGGAUGCAAUGAGAAUCAAUCCACCUAGACAAGUGAUGGAUUGUGGAGAG
rnacentral:lncRNA from 1 species